UACGGAGGGGGCUAGCGUUGUUCGGAAUUACUGGGCGUAAAGGGCGCGUAGGCGCCUUCUAAGUCGAACGUGAAAUCCCCGGGCUCAACCCGGGAACUGCGUCCGAUACUGGAAGGCUUGAAUCCGGGAGAGGGAUGCGGAAUUCCAGGUGUAGCGGUGAAAUGCGUAGAUAUCUGGAGGAACACCGGUGGCGAAGGCGGCAUCCUGGACCGGUAUUGACGCUGAGGCGCGAAAAGCCAGGGGAGCAAAC
rnacentral:rRNA from 1 species